rnacentral:rRNA from 1 species
CACCGCGGUUAGACGGGAAUAUGGCUCAAGUUGAUAGCUCGCGGCGUAAAGAGUGGUUAAGACAAACUAAUACUAAAGCCGAACACCUCCCAGGCUGUAAUACGCCCCCGAAGGGAACGAAGCCCAUCCGCGAAAGCAGCUUUAUCAACAUCUGAUCCCACGAAAGCUAGGGCA